rfam:Rousettus bat coronavirus HKT10, complete genome
ACAUGGGGACUUAUUGUGAUUUUCUAUCUGCGGAUAGUAAGUGUCACUACUUAGACCUUGUGUCUCCUCAUCUCAACUAAACGAAAUUUUAUCCAUCGCACACAUGUUCGCAUGUGUUUGCGUAUGGUGCAAUUGAAAUUUCAUUAGGUUGCCUAAUUUGGGUAACAAGUGCAGUGCGUCCUAGUGGCUCUGAGUGAGGGUUCCGUCCCCUCUCAUCCAUUACAAACGCCCUUUGCCAGUUCCGUCUGGUGAAGUGUGUGGAAGUCAAGUUCCGUCUUGUCUGAAACCUGUAACUGUGCCCAAUGGCUAGCAACCAAUUG